rnacentral:lncRNA from 1 species
GUUGUAGCCCUGCAUGCUUUCUGGGGAGCACACUCUAGCCACCGAGAUGAAGGCACGGGGAGGCCCGACCGUAGGUCGAACACGUCAGUCAGUGGCUGAUCCUUCCCAUGGUCUCUGGAUACACCAGUGAAGGCAGGAGGUGAAGUCUCCCAGAUCACCUGGGAACAGCCAUGGACACUUGUCUGGGGCUGCAUGAGGCAGUGUCUGAGACUCACCUUUGACACAAAUGUAACUGAAGGGGAGAAGCUGCCCCUGGGCAAGCCGGUCAGCUGAAAUACUGGUAUCCUCAGGUCCUGGCACAGCCUUAGCACCAAGUGGGCAUUCAACAGAUGUCUGUGAAGGUGAGUGGCUUGGCAGAAAACAGCCAAACCCUCUUCUGUGGAGCUUAAAGUGAAGGCCAGGAAGAGGGCUGGGGACAGAGAGAUCCCUUUGCAAAGACUGAAAGAACAACAGCGGCUACUGGACAGAAAUGUGGGUAGGCCCAAAAGUGGAAGGGCAACUGGAGGGACAGGAAAGGGAGUCUGGAGAGAAAGUGGAGGCCAGCUUCCAAGGCCAGACCAGGCUGAAGGUCUGCAGCUUCACUUCUGAGGCCUGCGAGACAACGAACCCAGCGGGAGGAAUGAACAACUCCAGACGCGCCGCCUUAAGAGCUGUAACACUCACCGCGAAGGUCCGCAGCUUCACUCCUGAAGCCAGCGAGACCACGAACCCACCAGAAGGAAGAAACUCUGAACACGUCCAAACAUCAGAAGGAACAAACUCCGGACACACCAUCUUUAAGAACUUGUAACACUCACCGCGCGGGUCCGCGGCUUCAUUCUCGAAGUCAGAGAGACCAAGAACCCACCAAUUCUGG